rnacentral:rRNA from 1 species
AUGAAGGUCUUAGGAUCGUAAAGCACUUUCGCCAGGGAUGAUAAUGACAGUACCUGGUAAAGAAACCCCGGCUAACUCCGUGCCAGCAGCCGCGGUAAUACGGAGGGGGUUAGCGUUGUUCGGAAUUACUGGGCGUAAAGCGUACGUAGGCGGAUUGGAAAGUUGGGGGUGAAAUCCCAGGGCUCAACCCUGGAACUGCCUCCAAAACUAUCAGUCUAGAGUUCGAGAGAGGUGAGUGGAAUUCCAAGUGUAGAGGUGAAAUUCGUAGAUAUUUGGAGGAACACCAGUGGCGAAGGCGGCUCACUGGCUCGAUACUGACGCUGAGGUACGAAAGUGUGGGGAGCAAACAGGAUUAGAUACCCUGGUAGUCCACACCGUAAACGAUGAAUGCCAGUCGUCGGGCAGUAUACUGUUCGGUGACACACCUAACGGAUUAAGCAUUCCGCCUGGGGAGUACGGUCGCAAGAUUAAAACUCAAAGG